AACUCUAGAUUUUUCUUAAUCUUUGGAAGAAUCAAAUCAUGAGGUUUAUUUUCUUGAUGGAUUAGAGGCUUGUAAUUGGAUUGGAGGAAGGCGUCUCUACACCUCUUGGGAAUUAAUUUGUAGAGUCUCAAUCUACGCUUUUGCUAUUUUUGGAGAUUCAUAGACUUUUGUGUGGCUCGCCUCAACUUGGAAGACUAGAAUUUUUUUGAAGGAUCAAAGGUGGGCAUCUUGUAGUUGAGGUUUUGCU